rnacentral:rRNA from 1 species
CAGUAGCCGCGGUAAUACGGAGGGUGCAAGCGUUAAUCGGAAUUACUGGGCGUAAAGCGUGCGUAGGCGGUUCGUUAAGUCUGUUGUGAAAGCCCCGGGCUCAACCUGGGAAUGGCAAUGGAUACUGGCAGGCUAGAGUGUGUCAGAGGAUGGUGGAAUUCCCGGUGUAGCGGUGAAAUGCGUAGAGAUCGGGAGGAACAUCAGUGGCGAAGGCGGCCAUCUGGGACAACACUGACGCUGAGGCACGAAAGCGUGGGGAGCAAACAGGAUUAGAUACCCGGGUAGUCCCUGUCUCUUAUAC